rnacentral:rRNA from 1 species
UACAUAGGGUGCAAGCGUUGUCCGGAAUUAUUGGGCGUAAAGAGCUCGUAGGCGGUCUGUCGCGUCGAAUGUGAAAACCCGGGGCUCAACCCCGGGCCUGCAUUCGAUACGGGCAGACUAGAGUUCGGUAGGGGAGUCUGGAAUUCCUGGUGUAGCGGUGAAAUGCGCAGAUAUCAAGAGGAACACCUGAGGUGAAGACGGGUUGCUGGGCCGACACUGACGCUGAUGCGCGAAAGCCAGGGGAGCAAACAGG